GUGAAGCUGGAUUCGCUAGUAAUCGCGCAUCAGCCAUGGCGCGGUGAAUACGUUCCCGGGCCUUGUACACACCGCCCGUCAAGCCAUGGGAGCCGGGGGUGCUUGAAGUGCGUCGCCGCAAGGCGCGCCCUAGGGCAAAACCGGUGACUGGGGCUAAGUCGUAACAAGGUAUC
rnacentral:rRNA from 1 species